CGCGCUACACUGACCGGAUCAGCGUGUGCUCUCCUUGGCCGACAGGUCCGGGAAACCCGUUGAACCCCGGUCGUGCUAGGGAUAGGGAAUUGCAAUUAUUUCCCUUGAACGAGGAAUUCCCAGUAAGCGCGAGUCAUUAGCUCGCGUUGAUUACGUCCCUGCCCUUUGUACACACCGCCCGUCGCUACUACCGAUUGAAUGGUUUAGUGAGGUCCUCCGAUUGGACCCGGUCCGGGCGGCGACGUCCGAGCCGGCGUCCGAGAAGACGAUCUAACUUGAUCAUUUAGAGGAAGUAAAAGUCGUAACAAGGUUUCCGUAGGUGAACCUGCGGAAGGAUCAUUA
rnacentral:ncRNA from 1 species